rnacentral:rRNA from 1 species
UACGGGGGGGGCAAGCGUUGUUCGGAAUUACUGGGCGUAAAGGGCUCGUAGGUGGCCAACUAAGUCAUACGUGAAAUCCCUCGGCUCAACCAAGGAAGUGCAUCCAAAACUGCUGAGCUUGAGUACUUAAGAGGAUCGCGGAAUUCCCGGUGUAGCAGUGAAAUGCGUAGAGAUCGGGAGGAACAUCAGUUGCGAAGGCGGCUCUCUGGACCAGCACUGACACUGAGGCACGAAAGCGUGGGGAGCAAACAGG